UACGGACAUAUCACAUUAAAACACCGGUUCCCAUAGGAUCACCAAAGUUAAGCAUGCCGAGCCUAGAUAGUACCAAGAUGGGUGAAUGCUUGGGUAGAACAUAGGUUGUA